UGGGGAAUCUUGCGCAAUGGGCGGAAGCCUGACGCAGCAACGCCGCGUGUGGGAAGACGGCUUUCGGGUUGUAAACCACUUUCAGGGGGGACGAAGCUUCCGAGGUUAAUAGCCUACGGGGUGACGGUACCCCCAGAAGAAGCCCCGGCUAACUACGUGCCAGCAGCCGCGGUAAUACGUAGGGGGCGAGCGUUGUCCGGAAUCAUUGGGCGUAAAGCGCGUGUAGGCGGCUUGAUAAGUCUGGUGUGAAAUCUUGGGGCUUAACCCCAAGCCUGCACUGGAUACUGUCAAGCUUGAGUCCGGGAGGGGAGAGCGGAAUUCCUAGUGUAGCGGUGAAAUGCGCAGAUAUUAGGAAGAACACCGGUGGCGAAGGCGGCUCUCUGGAACGGUACUGACGCUGAGACGCGAAAGCGUGGGGAGCGAACAGG
rnacentral:rRNA from 1 species